rnacentral:rRNA from 1 species
AUUGAACGAUGGCGGCAGGCUUAACACAUGCAAGUCGAACGAGUGGCGGACGGGUGAGGAAUGGCCGGGAAACUGCCUGAUGGAGGGGGAUAACUACUGGAAACGGUAGCUAAUACCGCAUACCAGCGGAUGGGCCCCGAUGGGAUUAGCUAGUAGGUGGGGUGAAGGCUCACCUAGGCGACGAUCCCGAGCUGGUCUGAGAGGAUGACCAGCCACACUGGAACUGAGGCAGUGUCCAGACUCCUACGGGAGGCCGCAGUGGGGAAUAUUGCCCACUGGGCGCGAGCCUGAUGCAGCCGUGCCGCGUGUAUGAGGAAGGCCUUCGGGUUGUAAAGUACUUUCAGCGGUGAGGCGUUGCCCGCAGAAGAGGCACCGGCUAACUCCGUGCCAGCAGCCGCGGUAAUAC